rnacentral:rRNA from 1 species
UACGUAGGCAGCAAGCGUUGUUCGGAGUUACUGGGCGUAAAGGGUGUGUAGGCGGUUGGAUAAGUGUGGUGUGAAAUCUCCCGGCUUAACUGGGAGGGUGCGCUACAAACUGUCUGACUAGAGUGUGGGAUGGGUAAGUGGAAUUCCACGUGUAGCAGUGAAAUGCGUAGAGAUGUGGAGGAACACCGAUGGCGAAGGCAGCCCCCUGGGCUAAGAUUGACGCUGAAGCACGAAAGCGUGGGGAGCAAACAGG